UUCCAGACUGAAUAAGCUGAAUUAUUUUAUUUUGAGGAAUGCACUUUUGAUCUGUAUGGCAGCUUUUUUGUAAUGUUAUCAUAUGCCAGACUCAUUAAGUUUCCAUUAAAGAGCGGGUCAAUUGAGCCUCGGAGUCCUUCUCCACCCACGUAUCAAUUUAAAAAAAUGCAACAUUAGUAAGCGUUGCCUGGAGGACCGAGAGGGCGGAGCCGCGGCAGUGACGAAGACGACGACUAACUAGACGAUGCUAGCUCCCUUCACUCUAUGCAGUUAUUAGAAAUGGAGGACGUUUCUCCCCCUCCUUACCCAGACACUCGAGAAGAAAGGGACCAAGUCUAUUUGGAGGAGACAAGCGGACCUGAGCCUUAUUGUUGUGAGCUUGUGAGUUGCCUGUAACUCCCAGAACCGACCCAACAGAACCACCUCUGAAUGUCCUCUGGUGUCUGCAGCUGGUCUCUGGUGUCUGCAGCUGGUCUCCUCUGCUGGUGUCGUCAGGAUCAGGAGCUUCCAGAAGAAUGUGCCUUUCAAUGACUCUUUCCCCCUUAUUUGUUAUAUUAAUUAAAUAAAUCUCAAUUUAUAUA